rnacentral:rRNA from 1 species
UACGGGGGGGGCAAGCGUUGUUCGGAAUUACUGGGCGUAAAGGGCUCGUAGGCGGCCUUCUAAGUCGGACGUGAAAUCCCUCGGCUUAACCGAGGAACUGCGUCCGAUACUGAAAGGCUUGAAUCCGGGAGAGGGAUGUGGAAUUCCAGGUGUAGCGGUGAAAUGCGUAGAUAUCUGGAGGAACACCGGUGGCGAAGGCGGCAUCCUGGGCCGGCAUUGACGCUGAGGCGCGAAAGCUAGGGGAGCGAACAGG